rnacentral:tRNA from 1 species
GCCUGUGUGGUGGAAUUGGUAGACGCGUUGGACUCAAAAUCCAAUGGUAGCAAUACCGUGUCGGUUCAAGUCCGACCACAGGCA